UAAAGUGCGAUACGUAGUGCGAUUUGCAUGAAUCUGUGAGUCAUCUAAUCUUUGAACGCAACUUGCGCCCCUUUGGGGCAUGUCUGUUUGAGAACCGCAUCUAUCUAACCCCUUGGGGUUGAAACUGUGCCGAGCUGCGCAAGCGGCUGGUGCGAAAUGCAGCAUGUAGGGGCAGAAAAGCCGAUCGUGUGCUGGAGACUUUGGUCUUGUCACGACGCGGCGCGUAUGCUCUUUGUUUUUUGUGUUUUGUAUAUUUUUUAUGUAUGUGAUUAUAUGAUUUUAUAUUAGUAUAAUUUUAUACGAUUAUACACAAUAACAAUACAAAAUAACAAAUAACACUAUAAAAACUGGUCUCAAAUCAGGCAAGACUACCCGCUGAACUUAA
rnacentral:misc_RNA from 1 species